AUGCAAGUCGAACGGCAGCACGGGAGCAAUCCUGGUGGCGAGUGGCGAACGGGUGAGUAAUAUAUCGGAACGUGCCCAGUCGUGGGGGAUAACGUAAAGAAAUUUACGCUAAUACCGCAUACGAUCUAAGGAUGAAAGCGGGGGACCGUAAGGCCUCGCGCGAUUGGAGCGGCUGAUAUCAAAUUAGCUUGUUGGUGAGGUAAAAGCUCACCAAGGCGACGAUCUGUGGCUGGUUUGAGAAAACGACCACCCACACUGGGACUGAGACACGGCCCAAACUCCUACGGGAGGCAGCAGUGGGGUAUUUUGGACAAUGGGCGAAAGCCUGAUCCAGCAAUGCCGCGUGCAAGAAAAAAGGCCUUCGGGUUGUAAACUGCUUUUGUACGGAACGAAAAGGUCUGCCCUAAUACGGCGGGCCCAUGACGGUACCGUAAAAAAUAACCCCCGGCUAACUACGUGGCCAGCAGCCGCGGUAAUACGUAGGGGUGCAAGCGUUAAUUCGGAAUUACUGGGCGUAAAGCGUGGCCCAGGCGGGUAGAUGUAAAAACAGUUGUGAAAUCCCCCGGGCUCACCCUGAGAAUUUGCAUCUGUGACUGCAUCGCUAGAGUACGGUAGAGGGGGAUGGAAUUCCGCGGUGUAGCAGUGAAAUGCGUAAAAUAUGCGGAGGAACACCCGAUGGCGAAGGCAAUCCCCUGAACCUGUACUGACGCUCAUGCACGA
rnacentral:rRNA from 1 species